GUGGAAUCGCGCGGCAACUCUCGCGAGGUUUGGGCGCGCUGAACGUUGUAGUUCGGAGUUGCGCCAUUUUGGGAGUGAGGUGACUGGUGUGUGUAUAUGUGUGUUUGCGUGUGCGGCGCUCUUGCGUCUCGGGGUUCUUCGUGGUUCUUGGGGGUGGAGGGUCGGUGUUGCUGCGUACGGUGGCGGCAGGAGGAGCAGCAACCGUCGCCAGGGAGCAGAGGUGGAGUAUCUAGGGUAAUUUGGAUUACAGAGAGAGCCCUGGAUUUUUGGCUUGUUUUGCCUCAGAUGGUAGGGAGGAAGAAUGGUGGAAAUCGACCUGCUGUAGUUGCUUUUUUUUUUUUUUUUUGAAAGUGGGGAGAUAUUGGACACUGAUGGAUUAUUUGUCCAAGUGUAUCCUCCUGAAAAGGCUUCUGGAACAAUCAGUAGGCAUCUGGAAGGUGAAUUGGAAGUUCGAAGUUGUGAGCUUUCUCUUUCUAGAAGCACAGAGCACUUCACCCUUGGACGCUUCUGUUUGCAUGUCAUGGAUACAUGGCUGAUUGUAUCAAGUCUGGAAUGCUUUGGCUGUCAAAAUAAUGUGUUUCUUGGCUUUUAGUUACUUUUUUCUUCCAAGUGGCGGGGCUGUCUGAGUCAUAGGCAUAACCAGUUUUGUGAACUGACUUAAGAUUAAGUGCAGCUUGAGUCACUGUGUAGAUGUUGCUGAAAAGUUUCGUGGCAGAUAUUUUUACCCCCUUUUUUAUUUUUCUGAUAUAGUCCUUUGUCAUUUUGUAUGAAGACCUAUUUUCUAAAUGAAAAACGUAACAGUAAUUUGUUCAUAAUUACUUCUGUUGAAAAAUGUUGCCAAUAAGCAAUAUAGUGAUAUCCAGAUAGCCAUUGUUUACAAAUGUCUCUGCUAUCUGAAAUUAGGAAAUGCUACUUAGUUCAGAUGUGAAAUUUGUUUUUUUGACUUUACAAUUUACAGUAUAAAAAGUGUUUAUUAUUUCAUCUGGAGCUGAUGCUUCUUAUUGUGAUAUGUAUAUGGAAUAGAUGAGAGGAGAAGCUUUCAGAAAGAAACACAAGCUUCUGAAGUUAGAGACUUGGCAAACUUUGUAAAUAGCCUUGUGGAAUAUGUAAGCAAGAAGGAUGGGUAGCUGAUUCCUGUGAUGUCAAAUUUAUGUCAAACAGCUACGCAUGUAGUAUCAACAAUAACUUGUGAUAUUAUCUCAAGGAAAACAAACUGGAAAAAUAUAAAUCAUGUGGUGCUAAUGACACCUUGUGGUCCUCUUGGAUUAGGUUUGAUUUCAGCUGAAUUGCUAUUGCCUCAAAGAAAAUUACUAUGGACAGAACAACUUAAUUCAAAACGACUUGCCAUGAGGUGCUGAAGCCUUGUCUCAUUGAUUCAGAGAGACUGGACCUAAAUGGCGCAGCAUGACUUUGCUCCAGCCUGGCUUAAUUUUCCUACUCCACCAUCAUCAACAAAGUAGGGAGUUUCUGCUUGAGCACCUGAGUUCAAGGAAAGAAGAAUAUGGACACAUUGCCAGAGCUGUUGUUAGAUUAAGAUUUCCUUCAUCAGUAGCUUAAAAUGAAUUAUUGUGUUGCUGGAAAAACUGAGAGGCAUGUUCUUGCUUCUGAUUUUGAUUUGUCCUAUACAUUUUAGAGAAUGUCUUUUCUUAUUCCAUCAUCCAAGUGAUUAAAAAAAAAAUGCUUUUGAAAAUAGACCUUCUGAAAUGUCUCAUCAGUUACUGGUGGUAGUGUGUGGUGCUUUCAAAUAGUUGUGCACCCUCACUGUUGGCUGUUCCAUCUAGACUACGAUUACUUCAUUUAUGAAAUGGAAAAGUUAGCUUGAGAACAAGAAAUAGUGGUCCCUAGAAUACUUGGAAAACAAGCAUUCAGAAAGUCUUGAAUGUUUCUUGUAUAAAUGUUUUUUUUUUUUUUUUUUUUUUUUUCCUGGCAUAUCCUUCUACUCUUUCCUAAUUUGUGUGAAUACAGAAACAGAGGCAGCACUGGAUAUUUCAGACUCCUAUUAUCUGUUUUAUUUUUCUAUUUGUAGACCUGCCUUCUUUCCUUCUUUGUUCUAAUCUUUUUGAAUGCAAAAUCUGUAUCUACAACUAUGAGAGUGGUAUUGCCUUGUUUUAAUGUAUUUAAGUUUCUUGCUGUCUUCAUGUCCAUGGAAAAUAUUCAGCCUUUAUAAACUUGGGAAAUGAGCUUGUGCUAUUGUUCAAUGCAUAGUCAGCAGUCAAUAUUAGUUGACUCCAUUGUUUUACUUAUGUAUCUACACACACAUGCAUGCAUGCACUUUUUAAAUUCAGGUCAUUUAAUGUUUUUAUUGCUCUAUUUAUCUUCUAUGCUGAACUAGCUAGCUUGUUUAUUGUAGUCUAUCAGCAAUUGUCAGUUGCUAAUACGGGUUAUGUUAGGCUCAUCUGUUCCUGAGAUCUGUAUGUUUUUAAUCUGCUUGAUUUCUGAGAUAUUCAACUCCUUGAUCUGCUUUUUCCAAUUUAAUAUGCUUUCAAUAGGAAAAGUAAUUAAAUCUUAAUUUAAUAUAGUGUCCCAAUUAUAAAACAAUUUUUCUUCAUGUGUUUCAUGAAUCUGCUGGAAGGGACUUACCUGCAUACUUAAAAUGCCAGUACAGUAUGAUAAAAGUUCCAGCAUUGCCUAAGUACUAUUCAAAUAUAUCUGACGUGUGAGGUUUUUUUUGUUGCCUCCUUCCUGAAUUGUGCAAAGCUUCAUUACAAACAUCUGUCUUCCAUGAAUCUUUACCUGAAG